GUGUAUCUACGUUGGUGUCGGGAACACGGCGUAUGCGGAAGAUAGACAGAUAGACAGAUGGACACCUGUCUUUGGGGCUCUUAGGGCGGCAGGCUUUUGCUGGACUUGGCUCAGGCACCCUACGCCAUUUCUGCAUACAUGAUUAUAUAUGCAUACAUGCGUACGAACCGCACAGGAGGGAACGCACACGAAGUCGGCUUUCCGCCUUUUGACAUUGCCAACAUCACCACCACAACCACCACAACCACCACAACCACCACAACCAUCACCACCACAACCACCACCACCACCACCAACAACAACAACAACAACAACAACAACAACAACACUGUUUCGACACACACACACACACACACACACCACCACCACUAAAUGCUAUGAUGUCAGGUGCCACUCGAGCGCCCUUUGCCUGUGAGCCUCAAGAACCUCCCUCCUUCCCGCCGCGAGCAAGAAGCAAACGACCCGGCCCUGCUCCGCAGAUGGAAGGUGCCUGGUUAGAUAGGUACGACAGCGGCCAUGUAAAUGCUGAUUGUGCAGCGCCAUCAGCCCUAAGUCCUCCAGCCAUAUCAGUGACACAGCCAAGAGCGGCGGCGGCAGGGGACCUCUCCCGUGCACACGUGCCGUCCCCCGGCCCGUCCCGUCCCGCCCGGUCCGACCGGAUCAACGACUCCGCGAUUCACCCCCUCCCCAACACACGUGCAGACGUGCUCCCUCCCCAACACACU
rnacentral:lncRNA from 1 species